CCCACCCUCCCAGUCGGGCUCAGGGCGCUGUGUCCCCGAGCCUGGGCGGGAGGCGCGCUCAGAAGUCGCCGGGCCGACCCUGGCGCGGCGCGAUGGGCGCCUCCGCCGCCCCCACAUCUGCCAGAGCGAGAGUCGGUUAGCUUUGGGGGGACUUGGCCAGCCUUCUGGGCCAGACCUUAGCCCCGUGCAACCUCUUGACAAAGGCGUGGGAGAUGAGAAUGUCCGUUGGGGAACUGGGAUGCUCUGGUGCGCUCCCGAGAGGUCUGCUUUCCAGUAACCACACGGCCGUGCAUUGGCAUGACUUUGUAUCGCAUCUUUGUGGCUAUUUUUGUUCGCUGUUGUACCUUUCAUCCUUUUUUGCGAAGUGCUUUCCAGAGAAGGUCAUUUGAUCUUCCUCCCUGUGAAGUCGGGAGGUGGGGUGGUUUUGGAGGGAAAGGACCUCAGUGCCUUGAUGUGUCCAAUGGGGAUAAUGGUAACGACAGGCACGCCUAUCUCAGCGUGCUCCUGGCUGGGGAGGACAUCACCGGGCCAGCGACCGGUUCAGCCCAGCCUCCCUCCCUGUCCCUGGAAAUGAGCUGCAGGGGGCUACUGCAUGGGGAAAAAGUGACUUUCCCUUACUGCAGCCAUGAGACAGGUGAGGAGAGGCAUUUCCCAGAGCUCAAGGCAGAAAGAGGAGGCAGGAGGGACCUCAGAUCACACAGCCACGGGCUCUUCAUCCACCUUUCUUUAACUGGGAUUUGUGUCACCCCUUUCUGUCACUUCUUCCACAGCUUCCCUCUUGUUCUAGUCCACACCUAUCUUAUUUUGUAGUUGUAAGCUGUUUAUAAGCACGAUCGUAUACACUUUUUAAAAAUUUCAUUCACUUAACAGCCCUGUGAAGUGCUAUCAGCCCAUUUUAUAGGUGGAGAAACAGACUCAAGAGAGCUAAGUACUUGGCCCAGCAAUAAGGAGCCAGAAUCAAACUCAGGUUUUUUGACGUGGCGGUACUUUUAAGAUCGACUCCGUCAUCCAGCCCUGCAUGGUGGGAGUAUCAGAGACGAAGGAGGACCGUGUCGUCAGAGGGGUUGAGCUCUUUGUUUGGGUUCCGUGAAAGACAGAAUGGGCUGAACCGGAACUGACCUACAUGUCCGCCAAAGGAGGGUAGGGUGCUGUGCAUGGAACCUCAGCUGAGGGCCCGCCACCCCGACUCAGCCGGGGCACUCGCAUUGCUAGUCACUGAAGCGACUCCGGCUGGGCGGGAGCCCCUCCUGCAGUGAUGGAGCAGUCAGGUUCAAGUCCUGAAGCCCUGAGCACCGUCCCCGUGGAGCCCCAGCCAUUUCCAUUUGCAGUGCGUCCUUUGUCCUGUGUGUCAUCCACUUAAGCGGUCAAGUGAAAUGUCUUAGGCGGUCCUUAAAAUUUGAAGGGGAGAGAAAAGAAUGGAGUCUUCUUUUUGUAUCUUAAGUAGCUUAAACAUUUUUUGAGUUUUAUUCCCUGACAGCCAGGCCAUUACCUGCUUUCGCAUGUUUCCACGUACAUUGCUUUUUCCUGGUACGAAAUGACCCCCCACAAUAAGUCCAGUGACUGUCCGUCACCACACACAGUUACUCACUAUAUUCCCUAUGCUGCACAUCACAUCUCUGUGACUUACUUCUUCUAUGACUAGAAGUUUGUGCCCCUUAAUCCCCUUCGCCUGUUUCGCCGGCCCCUCCAGCCUGAUAGCCCACUGUUUCCCGUCUGAGUCUGUUUCUGCUUCGUGGGUGUGUGUUGUUUUGCUUUUAGAUUGCACGUAGAAGUGAAGUUCUGUGACAUUUUCUUUCUCUGACUUACUUCAUGUAGCGUAAUGCCCUCUGGGUCCAUCCAUGUUGUCUCAAACGGCAA